rnacentral:lncRNA from 1 species
CUGGUUUCUGCCAAUGACUGGGACCACUUCUAAAUUUAAAGCCUGCAGAGGAGAGUUGACUUGGACGAACACUACAGACUCAUCAUGUCCAGCAACGUUUUCAGCCUUCACCGAGACACGGUAAAUCCCAGGAUUCUCAUAACGGUGACGGAUGGGUUCCCCAGUCAUUGUAAGGUUCACAUAUAUUGCCUUAAAUCCAUCGCCAAGAUCCACCUGGUACUUGGUAUUCAAUAUAUCACCCUGCUCUUGUCUGACAACGAAGGUGAUGUCCUCCCCAGGCUUAACAGCCAGGCUUUCUCCUCUGAUGCUGAUCUGAAGUCCCUUGGGAGCAAUCAAUGGACACAAAUGCUGUGCUAAGUUCUGCUGCAGGUCUACACCACCUUCA